GGCAUCGUGGCGGAGUGGUUAACGCGUCAGCCUCGAAUCCUAAACUGGCAGCUGAUCCUUUCGGGGGCGAGUGUUCGAAUCACUCCGAUGUCG